GAAGGAUGUAGGCAUGUUCCUGUAUUUUAACAAAAAGCAGUGGAGAUGGGUAUUUACAGAAGAUUUUUGAAAAUCAAGCAUUAUUUUGUCAUAAAUAUAGACCAAUAAAGCCAUUUCUAAAAUAACCAGAUGAACACCUACCAUACCUAAUUAUUUUCGUUUGAAAAUUCAGCCAUGCUAAGUAAGGUACAUAAGUGGUUAAAACAUUCCUUUCACUCCCCCUUUCAAUGUAACCUUUGGAUCUGAGACUGGAGACUUGUUUGGAACUUACUGAAGUUUCCCAAAGCAAAACCACGCACCAGUUCCUAAUUCAGAUGCCAGAUCUGUGUGCAGCCUCGUUCAGCUUCUGACUACGCUAGGCAACACUUUAUUAAUCAUGUAUGAAUUUCUGUGCGUAUAUCCUGAAGCGAUCACACACGGUGCAAUCCCAAUUAAAGGGGAAGGAAGAAAAAGGUGGUGGUGGGGGGGGGGGGAGGCAUUACCUGAUGGCAGAACCGGCAGCUGCAGGAGCAGAAGCAGAAACAGCAGCGGCGGGAUGCAACAACCCAGCCUUGAACCGAAGAAGGUUCUCCCAGCCGGGCAGCCAGCAGACAGCACUUUCUUCCUGGAAGAGGUCUGCCUCUCUGCUCAGAAACGCCUGG
rnacentral:lncRNA from 1 species